rnacentral:rRNA from 1 species
UACGUCCUACGGGAGAAAGCAGGGGACCUUCGGGCCUUGCGCUAAUAUAUGAGCCUAAGUCGGAUUAGCUAGUUGGUGGGGUAAAGGCCUACCAAGGCGACGAUCUGUAGCGGGUCUGAGAGGAUGAUCCGCCACACUGGGACUGAGACACGGCCCAGACUCCUACGGGAGGCAGCAGUGGGGAAUAUUGGACAAUGGGGGGAACCCUGAUCCAGCCAUGCCGCGUGUGUGAAGAAGGCCUUUUGGUUGUAAAGCACUUUAAGCGAGGAGGAGGCUACUAGUAUUAAUACUACUGGAUAGUGGACGUUACUCGCAGAAUAAGCACCGGCUAACUCUGUGCCAGCAGCCGCGGUAAUACAGAGGGUGCGAGCGUUAAUCGGAUUUACUGGGCGUAAAGCGUGCGUAGGCGGCUGAUUAAGUCGGAUGUGAAAUCCCUGAGCUUAACUUAGGAAUUGCAUUCGAUACUGGUCAGCUAGAGUAUGGGAGAGGAUGGUAGAAUUCCAGGUGUAGCGGUGAAAUGCGUAGAGAUCUGGAGGAAUACCGAUGGCGAAGGCAGCCAUCUGGCCUAAUACUGACGCUGAGGUACGAAAGCAUGGGGAGCAAACAGGAUUAGAUACCCUGGUAGUCCAUGCCGUAAAC